CCUGCCCGUGGAAAUGCUGGACAGCUGAAGCCACGAAGACAAAGGAGAAGAUUAGAGGCAACUGAGACCUAACCAAGUCACGAACCUGGAAGAUGAAAACAAAACUACUUGUCAUUCACUCUUAAUCUAUUUGCCUUGGAUGGAGUUCACUGCAACCCUGGCUCCAUCGAUUUCCUUCCCAUCCCCAGCUCGAGAAGAAACCCUGAUUUCUAAGCUGAUAAGCACAUGCCGUUCUCAUGAUUAGAGUUACUCAGCAUAGCCAGGGAAGUAUGCUGCUCUGGUUGUCACUUGGAGCCAUGUUUGCUGCGAUGAAGGGAAGCAGCUCUCAGAGGGAGCUGCCACUGAGGAGGGCAGAAGGGAGUAGUAGAGACAACCUAGGCUCUCAUGGCAUCGUUAUGUUCUUGG